AUAAGCGAAAGCUUGACAGGGUUACUCUGAGUGAUUUCCGCUAAGGAAGUCUUUUGGCACCUCUAAAAAUGGUGCAGAAUAAGGGGUGGGCAAGUCUGGUGUCAGCCGCCGCGGUAAUACCAGCACCCCGAGUGGUCGGGACGAUUAUUGGGCCUAAAGCAUCCGUAGCCGGUCCUGCAAGUCCUCCGUUAAAUCCACCCGCUCAACGGUUGGGCCGCGGGGGAUACUACAGGGCUAGGGGGCGGGAGAGGCAAGCGGUACUCGAUGGGUAGGGGUAAAAUCCACUGAUCCAUCGAAGACCACCAGUGGCGAAGGCGGCUUGCCAGAACGCGCUCGACGGUGAGGGAUGAAAGCUGGGGGAGCAAACCGGAUUAGAUACCCGUGUAGUCC
rnacentral:rRNA from 1 species